rnacentral:rRNA from 1 species
GAUGAACGCUGGCGGCGUGCCUAAUACAUGCAAGUCGAACGGGGAGUAGCAAUACUCUUAGUGGCGAACGGGUGAGUAACGCGUUGGUACCUGCCCCGAAGCUGGGGAUGACGGACCGAAAGCUCCGCUAAUCCCCCACGAGCACGGGAACGAGUAAACGUGUAAACCACGUUGGGAGGGGCCUGCGUCCCAUCAGCUAGUUGGUAAGGUCACGGCUUACCAAGGCGAUGACGGGUGGCGGACCGGGGAGGGUGGCCCCUCACAAUGGAACUGAGACACGGACCACAAACCUACGGGGGGGAGCAGAAGGUAAUAUUGUGGGUGGGAGCAAGCCUGAGCCAGCAACGCUGCGGGGGCGAGGACGUCGGGCGGGUAGUAAAGCUCUUUUGACUGGGACGAGGAGUGACGGUACCGGGCAAAUCAGCCUCGGCUAACUACGUG